UACGUAGGGGGCAAGCGUUGUCCGGAAUCAUUGGGCGUAAAGCGCGUGUAGGCGGCUUCGUAAGUCCGUUGUGAAAGUCCAGGGCUCAACCCUGGAAUGCCGAUGGAUACUGCGGAGCUAGAGUCCGGAAGAGGCGAGUGGAAUUCCUGGUGUAGCGGUGAAAUGCGCAGAUAUCAGGAGGAACACCAAUGGCGAAGGCAGCGCGCUGGGACGGUACUGACGCUGAGACGCGAAAGCGUGGGGAGCAAACAGG
rnacentral:rRNA from 1 species